rnacentral:rRNA from 1 species
GAAUCAUAGGUGUGUCACCUGUGGUGUCGUAACGAAAAGUUGCACAAUUUAAAUAAUUGUUGCGAUUGAGAAAUAAUGAUACAUCCGUUACUAAGAGUGUCGUCCAAAGCUGGUGCCAGAAGACUCGGUAAGGCCAGAGACGCAAACGUUAGUCGUAAUGAACAGGCGUAAAGGGUUCGUAGGCAUCUUUUUAAAGAAAAUUAAAGAUAGAAUCUAAUGGAGUUUGACUCGCUAAAUGCUGUAUGUAGGGAUGAAAUAUUUAGAUAUAUGGUAGAAGGCUAAAGGCGAUAGCAUCUUCUCAUGUAAAGAUUGACGCUGAGGAACGAAGGAGAUACAAAGGAAAAAGGAUUAGAUACCCAAGUACCAACUCUGUCAACGAUGAAUGGUGGUCAUUAGCCCUAGGUUAGUGGACAAGUAAACACGUGUACCAUUCCGCCUUGUGAGUACGGUGGCAAACGCUGGAAACAAAAAAAUUAGUCGGUCUUGAAGCAAACGAAGUGAAGCAUG